rnacentral:lncRNA from 1 species
AGUAAACAGGCCCCUCGUGGUAAAUGGAGAGCAGUGAAUGGAGGUGGAGGGAGAAGUUUUGGGAAAAGAUUUGCACUCAGUUAAUGAUGCUCAAGGUAGUUCAAGGCAGACUCAGUAGCUCCCGGGUUGCUUAGUAGAAAUGCAGAUUACUGGGUCCCAGUCUGGACCUGCAGCGUCAGAAACUCUGGGGUAAGGUCUGGGAACCUGUGUUUUAUUUUUAUGUUAUUUUUUUGAGACAGGGUCUUGCUGUGUUGCCCAGGCUGGUCUUGAACUCCUGGGCUCUAGUGUUCCUCUUGCUUCAGCCUUCCAAAGUGCUGGGAUUAUAGGCAUGCGCCACUGCACCUGGCCAGAACCUGUGUUUUAAGGAACACUGGAGAUCAUUACUGUGCACCCUGAAGUCUGAGGAGUCUAGCACCAGAUGAUCUGACGACACAUCAUUGGGAUGUGGAGUCAUGGUUCCAGUCACCAGCCUGAAGUUGUCCUUGUCUGUCACCCUCCCCACUUUGUCUAAGGUUGACCACGUUGUUCCUGAGCCUGGGACAAG